GCAUAAGUAGAUGAUGUAACCGGAGGAGAGCACGAGUACAGAGGGUAUGGCUUUCCAUGGCAUCUUAGUGUGCCGGAUGAGUGACAACUGCCGCCACCGCCUCCGCCACCUCCACCUCCUCCUCCUGUGCAUGUGUGCGACCCAACUUCUGGGUCAUCGUUGCAUAUGCCGUUGAUGCAAAUGAGCUCACCCUCACAAUCAUCAAGGGUUCUGCAUGGCCCGUUACACUGGGAUAUUGCAUUUGAUAGCAAUGGAAGGAACAUCAUGGCGAAAAUUAUUGUAAAGGAAACUAAUGAUUUAGCCAUAAUGUUGAUUAACAAAUAAUGUUUAGAGGUUUGAUACAAAAUGAGAAAAGAUACAUCUGCAUGAAUUUAUAGACUGGUAGUCACGUUCAUGAAAAGAACGUCUUGAGUCAUACAAUUGAGAAAAAUCCUCAUAAUAAGAUGGUUUUAACAUGUCUUUUCAUCAAAAUGUUAGAUAAUAUGUUAAUUUUUUUUUCUCUAUCCUACUCUCCUAUUUUAACUUUAAUUACAAUUUGCCAAUUUUAAAGUGGAUGAUUAUGUAGCAAGGCAAUUCCGCCACGUAAGACUUCGAUAGGCUCGGUAUGAAGGUUUAUCAAUUUACAAUUGCCGUGGAUGUGGAUGUAUGGUAAUGAAUAAUUUGUUUAUUUAUUCUUAAUUCUGAUUUUUUUCGUUAUCAUAAAUAAAAACGAAACUGUCUGAAGUUUUCCAAAUUUCUUAAAGGUGCCACGAUGCAUGCCCGUCUUCAUUAUGUUCCGCUUCUGAUGAAAUCAAAAGGCAAACCUCAAUUAAUUUUAAGGACUCGAGUGGAGGAGAAAUUUCUCCAUUCAACAAUUAAGUUUCGUUGUACAUAGUAAAACUUAAGUAGGAUGGGCCUAAAAUUUAUAGAAGAUGAUAAUUUGAUAGAAUUUAACAAUAAUAUAGAGGGGAUAAAUUUUAUUUUUCUUAGUUCAUAAGCACAAACGCUUUGUGUUGAAACUUGAUUGUCUCAUCCUUCCAUUAAUUCUUCUAACAACCAACGAAAAUUUUGAUGGGUUCAACAAUUAUGAAGAUUGAGAUUUGUCCAUCUUUUUCAUUUAACU
rnacentral:lncRNA from 1 species